AUGGAGCCGCCCGCACCCGGUUCAGAACCACCGGUCGAGGAGGACCGCAUCCAAGAACCGGACCCCGACUCCAACGCCUCCUCCAAUGGGGAUGGGGCCCCGGCCGCUGCUGCGCCGCCACCUCCACCUCCCCGCGCGACGCCCCUCCACCUCGACCAGGCCGGAGGCGGCGCCGACGGGUCGACCUCCGCCACGGUGGUGGACCCGCGGAAGGGCAAGGAGACGCUGCUGCCCAGGGACAUUCCUCCUCCUCCGAGCCCCGCGGACUACGCCGGCGCCGGCGCCGAUGGGUCGAGCUCCGCCGCGGCGUGGGUCGAAAGGAAGGGCAGGCUGGCCGCCGUUCCCUUUCCGGCACCUUUUCCCCCAAGCUCCGCGGGCAGCAUCCCCGACUUCGGAGCCGGGGGGUCAAGCUCCUCGGCGGGGAGGAGGAUGGUGGUGCCGAGGGACGCGACGCUGCCGUUCGACUACACGCGGGUGUUCCAGCAGGCGGUACGAGAGGGGCAGUCGGUUAUCAUCGAGGAGGAGCAGGUGAUGGGCGUUCGCGAUGUUGUUUCUUGGAGUUGCUGGAGUGCGUUCUUCAACGUUUCUUGGUUUCUUCUCGAGCAGGUGGAAUCGCCGCACGCCAAAGACGCACUCCCGGGAAAGGAAAAGGAGAAACUACAACAAGUCAAGGUGAGACCCAGGCCUGAAAAGGGGAAAUCACCCUGGAGCUGGCUCAAGAACAAGAUUUUUUGUAGAGAAGGAAGGCAAAUAUGUUCGGAACAUGUCCAGCACCAGACACAACCCAUCUCCGAAGUAAGGAAUCGUUAUAUGGUUUCUUCUAAUGGGAUGAACAGUCUUGAUGGCUAUUCAGAAUUUAGACCGGUGAUUGGAGAUGGGGAGUGUUUCUACAGGAGCUUCAUAUUUUCCUACCUAGAGCAAGUUAUUGAUAGGCCGGACACAGAUGAGGAACGCCGUCUCCUUGAUGUUGUUGAAACAGCAUCUGCACGACAUGCAGAUCUUCGAUGGAACUCUAAGUUUCCCAGGAGCAGCAGAGCAUUUAAGAAGCUGCUUGAGAAAGUAAAGAGAUGGAAGAACACGGAAUCAACUAGCAGGUUUUUGAUUCUCUUGGUUUUCUGCAAUUCCAUCAAAAUUACUAGUAGCUAUCCAGAUAUGCUCGCACAGUGCAGAUGGUGCUUUCUGUACGUCACUCCAGCUCGUGUGGAAUCGGAAGGUCUUAUGAUGAGGGCCUUGGCCAGCGCGCUUGACGUAACCCUCAUAGUGGAAACAUUCCAAGGAGGAUAUGCUCGAGAUAUCUACACUAGUCCUGGAGUUCCCCGUCCGGCUGUGACCCUGCUGUACAAUGACAUCAACAUUCAGACGACGACGAAAGAGAAGAAGGAAAAUGGAUCAACUGUAUUGGCACCAGACAUCAACACCUGGAGGCUUCAGACCUGCUGCAGUCUUGAGAUAAAUUCAUCUUCAGAUUGGAUUGGAUCCAAGACGUGGUUGGUUGCUCGCAUCCCCCCAUGCAGCCUCCGGGAGACCAAAUUCGCCCAUUUAGUUAGCUGGGUUGCAUUGAAAUUUUGGCCCGCACGAACCUCAAAGCACCGCUCGCCAGCCCUGGAGAAACCCCCGAAUCGGCAGGGAGCCAAGUUCUCCAUGUGCAUGGAGGGGAACGCGGCGUCAAACUUGUGCGAGCAUAGAGAUGGCGCGAGCUCGCGCGCGUCCCCAAUAAAUUGGCCGGCGAAAACGCUUCCUCCUCCUCUUCUUCGAGUUGUUCAAUGCCUCCUCCCUGCUCCUCCAAUUGUGGCAAUGACCGAGGAAGAGUAUAGUCAGGCCCUUAUUUUUUCGGACACCAAACAAACCUUUGCCUCCUAUGUUGAGGAUAGUCGCCGUUGGCUCAAGAUGCAAAGAACACGUUUGUUUGAGUGGCUAGCAACAUGUGGUCGGGUCUUUGAGGUCGUGAGGUCGAUCACUCCCAUACUGGGCUUGCUCUACAUCCGGCGCAUCGAGUUAAGUCGGCUUGUUCAAAAUAAGGGACACCAUAAGUUAUUGGCAGUGGUAGCUUCCAUGUGCCAAUAA
rnacentral:rRNA from 1 species